AGUCUUCUGUAUCCGUGCUGGGAUUUCGUCACACACCAAACCACAAGGGCUGAUGAGACUUCCAAGAUAAGUGAAGCG
rnacentral:pre_miRNA from 1 species